GACGAACGCUGGCGGCGUGCUUAACACAUGCAAGUCGAACGGAAAGGCCCUGCUUUUGUGGGGUGCUCGAGUGGCGAACGGGUGAGUAACACGUGAGUAACCUGCCCUUGACUUUGGGAUAACUUCAGGAAACUGGGGCUAAUACCGGAUAGGAGCUCCUGCUGCAUGGAGGGGGUUGGAAAGUUUCGGCGGUCGGGGAUGGACUCGCGGCUUAUCAGCUUGUUGGUGGGGUAGUGGCUUACCAAGGCUUUGACGGGUAGGCGGCAUGGGAGGGGGACCGGCCACAUGGGGACUGAGAGACGGCCCAGACUCCAACGGGAGGCAGCAGGGGGGAAUAUUGCACAAUGGGCGGAAGCCUGAUGCAGCAGCGCCGCGUGCGGGAUGACGGCCUUCGGGUUGUAAACCGCUUUCGCCUGUGACGAAGCGUGAGUGACGGUAAUGGGUAAAGAAGCACCGGCUAACUACGUG
rnacentral:rRNA from 1 species